rnacentral:rRNA from 1 species
CAGUAGCCACGGGAAUACGUAGGUGGCAAGCGUUGUCCGGAAUUAUUGGGCGUAAAGGGCUCGCAGGCGGUUUCUUAAGUCUGAUGUGAAAGCCCCCGGCUCAACCGGGGAGGGUCAUUGGAAACUGGGAAACUUGAGUGCAGAAGAGGAGAGUGGAAUUCCACGUGUAGCGGUGAAAUGCGUAGAGAUGUGGAGGAACACCAGUGGCGGAGGCGACUCUCUGGUCUGUAACUGACGCUGAGGAGCGAAAGCGUGGGGAGCGAACAGGAUUAGAUACCCCCGUAGUCCCUGUCUCUUAUAU